rnacentral:rRNA from 1 species
CAGUCGCCACGGGAAUACGAAGGGGGCCAGCGUUGUUCGGAUUUACUGGGCGUAAAGGGCGCGUAGGCGGACUGAUAAGUCAGGGGUGAAAUCCCAAGGCUCAACCUUGGAACUGCCUUUGAUACUGUUUGUCUUGAGUUCGAGAGAGGUAAGUGGAACUGCGAGUGUAGCGGUGAAAUGCGUAGAUAUCGGAAGGAACACCAGUGGCGAAGGCGGCUACCUGGAUUGACACUGACACUGAGGCGCGAGAGCGUGGGGAGCAAACAGGAUUAGAUACCCCUGUAGUCCCUGUCUCUUAUAC